ACGACGCUGGCGGCGUGCUUAACACAUGCAAGUCGAACGGAACUCUUUGGAUCAAGACUUCGGUCAAGUGAGAUUGAGUUUAGUGGCGGACGGGUGAGUAACGCGUGAGGAACCUGCCCUUGAGUGGGGAAUAACGUUCUGAAAAGAACGCUAAUACCGCAUAAUGUACAAUUGUCGCAUGGCAGCUGUACCAAAGAUUUAUCGCUCAAGGAUGGACUCGCGUCCGAUUAGCUAGUUGGUGGGGUAACGGCCUACCAAGGCGACGAUCGGUAGCCGGACUGAGAGGUUGAACGGCCACAUUGGGACUGAGACACGGCCCAGACUCCUACGGGAGGCAGCAGUGGGGGAUAUUGCGCAAUGGGGGAAACCCUGACGCAGCAACGCCGCGUGAAGGAAGACGGUUUUCGGAUUGUAAACUUCUUUUAUAAGGGACGAACUUUGACGGUACCUUAUGAAUAAGCUCCGGCUAACUACGUG
rnacentral:rRNA from 1 species